rnacentral:rRNA from 1 species
CACACGACCGUACCGCAAACCGACACUGGUGCGCGAGAUGAGUAUUCUAAGGCGCUUGAGAAACUCAGGAGAAGGAACUCGGCAAAUUGACACCGUAACUUCGGAAGAAGGUGUGCCUUUAGUAGGUGAACCUGUACAAGGGGAGCCCAAUGAGGUUGCAAAAAAUCGGUGGCUGCGACUGUUUAAUAAAAACACAGCACUCUGCAAACACGAAAGUGGACGUAUAGGGUGUGACGCCUGCCCGGUGCUGGAAGAUUAAAUGAUGGGGUGCAAGCUCUUGAUUGAAGUCCCAGUAAACGGCGGCCGUAACAAUAACGGUCCUAAGGUAGCGAAAUUCCUUGUCGGGUAAGUUCCGACCUGCACGAAUGGCGUAACGAUGGCCACACUGUCUCCUCCUGAGACUCAGCGAAGUUGAAAUGUUUGUGAUGAUGCAAUCUCCCCGCGGAAAGACGGAAAGACCCCAUGAACCUUUACUGUAGCUUUGUAUUGGACUUUGAACAGAUCUGUGUAGGAUAGGUGGGAGGCUUUGAAGUGUGGUCGCUAGAUCGCAUGGAGCCAACGUUGAAAUACCACCCUGGUGUGUUUGAGGUUCUAACCUAGGCCCGUAAUCCGGGCGGGGACAGUGCAUGGUAGGCAGUUUGACUGGGGCGGUCUCCUCCCAAAGCGUAACGGAGGAGUUCGAAGGUACGCUAGGUACGGUCGGACAUCGUGCUAAUAGUGCAAUGGCAUAAGCGUGCUUAACUGCGAGACUGACAAGUCGAGCAGAUGCGAAAGCAGGACAUAGUGAUCCGGUGGUUCUGUAUGGAAGGGCCAUCGCUCAACGGAUAAAAGGUACUCUGGGGAUAACAGGCUGAUACCGCCCAAGAGUUCAUAUCGACGGCGGUGUUUGGCACCUCGAUGUCGGCUCAUCUCAUCCUGGGGCUGUAGCCGGUCCCAAGGGUAUGGCUGUUCGCCAUUUAAAGAGGUACGUGAGCUGGGUUUAAAACGUCGUGAGACAGUUUGGUCCCUAUCUUCCGUGGGCGCUGCAGAUUUGAGGAAGCCUGCUCCUAGUACGAGAGGACCGGAGUGGACACACCUCUGGUGUAUCGGUUGUCACGCCAGUGGCAUUGCCGAGUAGCUAUGUGUGGAAGAGAUAACCGCUGAAAGCAUCUAAGCGGGAAACUCGUUUCAAGAUGAGAUCUGCCGGGGCCUUGAGCCCCCUAAAGAGUCGUUCAAGACCAGGACGUUGAUAGGUCGGGUGUGGAAGCGCAGUAAUGCGUUAAGCUAACCGAUACUAAUUGCUCGUGCGGCUUGACCAA